UUAGAUAUUAUUAGAUACAUUUAGACCUCAAGGUCUGAAGCUGGCAUGGGUUACAUUCCCCAAGGAGUGUGAGGUGGGAAACUCCAAGCGUUCUUUGGCUCUAUCCCACAUGAAAGAUAGCAUCCUGUUUGAUGUAACAGCCAUCCGUUAACCAGGCAAUGCUCGUCUCAGAAGUUAUUCUUUGUUUUGUUUUUUUUUUUAGUUAAAGCAAAUUUUUAUUGAGAUAUAAUUCAUAUAUCAUAAAAUCCAUCCAUUUAAAGUAUUCAAUUCAAUGAUUUUUAUCAUGUUUAGGAUCAUUGUUGUUCUCAGUUGUGCUAAGUCCCUUCAGUCAUGUCUGACUCUUUGUGGCCCCAUGGACUGUAGCCCACCGGGCUCCUCUGUCCAUGUGAUUUCCUAGGCAAGAAUACCAGAGUUGGUAGCCAAUCCCUUCUCCAGGGGAUCUUCCCAACUCAGGGAUCAAACCUGAAUCUCCUGCAUUGCAGGCAGAUUCUUUGCUGCUGAGCCACCAGGGAGGCCAUUUAGGGUCAUACAACCUGCCAACUUCAGUUAUUUCUUAGCCAUGAAGAUUUCAAUUCAAAAAGACUAGAAGUGGAAGCUGUUUUUCUAAAGCAUUCCAGGUGAAUCUAAUGAGCAGCCAGAUUUGGGAUUCAUGGGUCUAUAGCAGGGAUCCCCAACUUCUGGGCCAUGGGCCGGUACCUCUUGUCAGAUCAGAGGCAUAAUUAGAUUAGAAAUAAAGUGCACAAUAAAUAUAAUGCACUUGAAUCAUCCCCAAACCAUCUCCCCAUCCCUGGUCUAUGGGAAAACUGUCUUCCACGAAAUUGGUCCCUGGAACUGAAAAGGUUGGGCCUUCCUAAAGCAACCACAGCAGAGCCAGGGCUGGAGGAGAAACUCUUCACAGACGUGAUGCUUAGGCUCCGUGUAUAUAUUUGUAUCUGCCUUGGGAGAGAAGUGUCUCUUUUAAAAGGCAAGUGCGUGCCUGGUUAUGCAAAUGCAAUUGGGAACUCAGGAGACAAAACCUGGAUGGGGAAAGCCAGCAAGUCACUGUAGCUUCAAAACUGAAGGUUGAGAAAUUGUAGAUAGAGAGGCCGUGAACUCCCUGAAAUUAGUACAUCAGCUCAGCUACAAGGACGUGACCAGCCUGACACAAAGCAACAGAUAAGAGGACCCCAAAGAACCAGCAUUCUAAAGAUGGAAAGGACCAGAAGUGAACACUCUUCCCACUCCCACCUGCUUCUGAGCGGUGUCAAAGCCUCAGUGGAGGGACUGGUCACAACUACUGAGUCCGAGGCCACAACUUCCGAAGCCCACGUGGUCUAGAGCCUGUGCUCCUCAACACGAGAAGCCACUGCGGCGAGAAACCUGCGCACUACAACCAGAGAGUCGUCCCCGUUCACUACAACUAGAGAAAGCCUUUGAGCAGCAACACAGACCCAGCGUCGUCAAAAAUAAAAUAAAAUAAAUAUAUGUAUAUAUCUAAAGGGCAUCAGACACAGUUUGAGGGCUGGAGAGAAGAUAAGGCAUGGCCUCAUGCCUUAUCUAGGGGGUUUAGGGCCAUGCCUGGAAGCCAACUCCAUGUGAUAAGCACUUCUAUAAUUAGCAAAAAGGAUACAUUCCAGUGAAAUGUUUACCGUCAGAAACUAUGUUAUUGCAGGCAAGGAAAAUUCUGGAGGCAGUCUCGGGCUGUGUCUUCCUUUACCAGCUGACUUUGUCUUUCCUGAGGCCUUAAAUAUGUGGCUCUGUGCCCACUCCAGGGGAUGCACUCUUCGGACAGCCCUUGUCUGGUGACUCACGGGAUGCUGACAGUGACGGCUUGCUGAAAUUUUUCUCCGGUUCCCAAUGAUUAGAACCUCCCUUAGCUCAGGAGUUCUUCCUUUUUAUUUUUUAAAAAUUUUUUGGCUGUGCCUCGAGGCUUAUGGGAUCUUAGUUUCCCAACCAGGGAUCAAACCUGGGCCCCGUCUGCAGUGAAAGCACCAAGGUCUUACUACUGGUUCCCUAGGGAAUUCCCAAGGGUUCUUAACUUGGGAUAUGUUUUGGGCAAUGUUGGGUUGGCCAAAAAGUCCGUUUGGACUUUUCCAAAGUAGUUAUGGGAAACUCGAAUGAACUUUUUGGCCAACCCAAUAUCUACAGUAGCAAGCUUCGUAUCAUUUCCAUAUAUUUGCAAGUGCAUUAUGAAGUUAUUGUGCAACAUAAAUUUGCCUUUCUACUUUUGCUUUAGAAUAAUUGGGGCUUAUACCAUAAACUUAGGGCUUGCCAGGUGGCACCAGUGAGCCCAUCUGCCAAUGCAGAAGACAUAUGAGAGGCGGGUUCGAUCCCUGGGUCGGGAAGAUCUCCUGGAGGAGGGCAUGACUGCCCACUCCAGUAUUCUUGCCUGGAGAAGCCCAUGGACAGGGGAGGCUGGCGGGCUAUAGUCCAUAGAGUCGCAAAGAGUCAGACACGACUGAGGCGACUUAGUACGCAUGCGCAAAUGCAAUAAAUUUAUAAGAUGCCCUUUGAA